rnacentral:lncRNA from 1 species
GGGGAUCCCAGGUGACACUCCAGGGCCACCCCGUUUCCUGCCCUCAGCACUGCUGGGAGCAGCUGCAGCUGGAGGAAGUGUGUGUGUGUGUGUGUGUGUGUGUGUGUGUGUGCGCGCGCAUGUUGGGGGCAGGGGAGGGAUCAUAACACAUGUGCCCUUUCCUUGUCCGUUUUUCCCUGGCAGGUGUGAGCGCCAGCAUGGCAGGGCUGUCCAGUCACUGCUGCAUGUGCAGGGGCCACAGAGAGCCUGGCUCACAGCACACACUCCACAGCUCCUUCACCCAACCCAGGACUGACCAGGUGCUACCAAGCACUUGCUCCCUGCUCCCCGCCACAGCCCGGCUCACCUGGCCCCAGGGCCCCACCACCCACUGCGUGCAGGGGUGGGUGUUGCAGGGCCAGGUGGUGUUGGGUCUCAGCGCCUCCUCGCAGAGGCCUGGCUCCGGGCAAGUCACCAGAUGCUGCUGCUCACCACCGCCACAGGCCUCGGAGCACUGGGUGGGCAGGGAAGGAGUCAGGGCACAGCCAGGGUCUGAGGGCAUCCCCUCCCCCGAUCUGAACCCCCAGGCCUCACCUCCCUCCAGGAAGAUGUGUAACAGCUGAGGCAGGGCUGGGCCCCGCAGGGCCGGUGUGCAGGCGGUUUGGCAGGCCCGGGCUGACAAUGGAAGGGCUGCAGUGUCCAGAGGUCCCGUGUAUCCACACACUGCACGUCCUGCACUGAGGAACCUCCACCGCAGCUGCGCGAGCACUGGGGACCAAGACACCCACGUGCAGGCCCACGGGUGUGACCCUGUGAGGCAUGUGGCGGGAAAGGCAUCAGACCCACGCCCCAGCCCGGGGAAAUAUCUGAAGAACCCCAGCGAGAGGCCAAGGCUGGCAGGCCCCAGGCAAAAGGUGGCAUGGCCAGAGACUGCCAUGGGCUGGGACAGACAGAGAAAGGGAAGAACAAAGGCAAGCUAGUGAAAGACAAGUCCAGAUGGGGUCAAAGAUACAGAGAAAAGGAGACAGGCCAAGCCAGACAAAGAUGAGAAGACUCCCAAGAGAUUCAGAAUCCAGUGAGAUCGGGCACACAGACGUGCAGCCUGGAGCCCUCCCCUUCCCUGCCGCUCUCGGAACACAGGCCGUGGGGAACCAGGGCUCCACCCCAUGCCCUGGGAAUGCCUGUCCUGGCUCCAUCCUCACGCACCUUACUCCAGUUGCCUGAGUGCCAGGUGGCACAGGGCUGCAGGUGGCAGUGGCGGGCAGGCUGGGGCCGGCCAGCGGGGGUACAGUCCUCAUCCCGGCCAGAGCUACAGCGCACCGGCCUCCAGACCACACCCAGGCCGCAGGUGGUAGAGCACUGCGGGGAACAGACCCGUGAAAGCCAGGCAGAUCCCAUCCCCACCAGGCCUCCACAGCCAGGAAACUACCCACCUAGGCUAGCGAGACCUCAGCAAGACAGGAGACCUCAGCAGGACAGGGGCCCUCUUCUGGGCCUCAGUUUCCUUAUUUGCAAAAUAGGCUCCUCCACCCACCUCCCAGGAAGACUGUGAGGAUGAGAAGUCAAAUCCCCCCAGCAACCAACCAUCCCUGCUCACAUGGGACAAAGGGCCUGUGUUCCAGCGUCAUUGGUGCAGAGGUGGGGGGAGGGGACCCUGUGGGCACCCCUGACCAGCUAUCCUGACCAUCCUCAUGGCUUCCCAGAGGCACCAGGGAAGGAAGGCUGGGUCCUGGUGCCAGCAGCCAAAUCGCUGAGUAAAGCUUCAGCCUACCCCAUCCCACCUCCAAAUUAGGGAUCUGAACAGAAGCUUCUUCUCCUGCAGUGACCAUCUGGGGACCCAGGGAGGGGCACUAGCCAGCUUCUUUCUUGCAGCUCAGACCCCUGCAGGUCACUGCUAGAGGAGGGCGGAGCCAGGUGGCAGUGGGCUGAGCCCAGCCUGGAGGAGCCAGGCAGAACCUCAGGGAAGCUGCGGGGCCGGCGGCCACGCGGGGACCCUCCCCACUGCACAGCUGUCUGAGCCAGCUCCAUCCUGGGGCGUGCUGUGCUGCCAGAGUGUGCCUGCCCCUGCCUUCCCUGAGGCCCGCUGUGCUGCCCAGGAAUGGGCCCCGGGGUCCCCUCACCCCCCUAAAUCCUGGGAACCCCUUCCCCGAGGGAGGCGAGACAGACGGCCCGUGUCCCACUCUGCUCAUUUUCAGUGAAGAAACAGUCACCAAGGUCCCCCGCAAACUCCCUGCCCGCCCAGCCCACACCACUUGCCUCGCUCCAGUUUCCCGCUUGCCAGCUGGCGUUCCUGACAACCAACGGGUCCGCGGGGGGCCCCGCUUCAGCCAGGCUGGGAGGCAGUGGCUGGGUCUCAGGGGCUCUGUGGCUGUUGGCGGGGCUGUCCCAAGCUGGUGUGGACAGCAGCCUAGAGCUCAGGGGCACCUCAGGGCUGAGGGACUCAGGCUGACCCUUGGGUCCUGGGUUCAGGGCAGGCUCAGGCAUGUGCCCGAGGCCAGUCAGGGUUGUGGGGAGGAAGGUCCCCCACACUGCCACAGUCUGCAGGUCCCAUGAGCCUGGUCCUGGGGUUGGGAAGGAGGGAGUCCCCGGCUCCAGGGAACUGUCCCUGACCUUCAUCUCUGGCAGAGGGGCUAUGGGAGGAGGAAGGAGAGAAGCCACCCCAACAGUGGGCCACAGUUCACUGUCCACAGGCCCCAGACCACCCUCCAGAGCUGGCUCCCAGGCCACUAUCCCUCCUGUCCACAGCUCCGCCGCGUCGGGACUAGGAGAGGAGUGGGUGCUGCCGACAGGACAAAGGGGGCAGCGUGGGGCUGGGUCUCGGGGGCAGGUGGGGUGCUCCACGGCCCUCGGGUUCAUCAUCCUUGAAAACCUCAUUGGUCCUGCCCCGCCAUGGAGGGGGCAGCUGGCUCUGGCUGUCCUUGCUAACUGGGAAAUCAUUUUGGCUAUCAGGGGCAGCAAGUGUCUGCAGGCCAUCGGUAGAAACCCUGGGCCAGGGCAGGCUGGAGAGCCCAAGAUCUGGGGCCCCUAUGGGGGCAUCUUCCUCAGGCAGGAAAUUGAUCAAAGGGUUCCCAGGGGUCUGCUCUGAGGGCGGGGAUGGGAAGCAGCCGGCCUGGCUGGGCCAAGGGCUAAGGGACCAAGGUCCCGGUGCCCCCUCCUCCUUGGCUGCAGGAGGCUCUGUGGCAGGCACGGGGCUACCCGUGGAGGGUGCAGGAUGGCUGUGUGGUGGGGGUGUCCGGUCCCCUGUCCCCACCAGGUCUAGAUCGGGUUCCUCAGAGGGCCCAUAGGACAGAUCCUCGUGGAAGUUGAUGCAAUUGUAGU